AUUGGACGCUGGCGGAAUGCUUUACACAUGCAAGUCGAGCGGCAGCACGGGGGUAACCCUGGUGGCGAGCGGCGAACGGGUGAGUAAUACAUCGGAACAUGCCCAGUCGUGGGGGAUAACACUUCGAAAGAAGUGCUAAUACCGCAUACGUCCUGAGGGAGAAAGCGGGGGAUCGCAAGACCUCGCGCGAUUGGAGUGGCCGAUGUCAGAUUAGCUAGUUGGUGGGGUAAAGGCCUACCAAGGCAACGAUCUGUAGCUGGUCUGAGAGGAUGAUCAGCCACACUGGGACUGAGACACGGCCCAGACUCCUACGGGAGGCAGCAGUGGGGAAUUUUGGACAAUGGGGGCAACCCUGAUCCAGCCAUUCCGCGUGAGUGAAGAAGGCCUUCGGGUUGUAAAGCUCUUUCGGCAGGAACGAAACGGUGAGCUCUAACAUAGCUUGCUAAUGACGGUACCUGAAGAAGAAGCACCGGCUAACUACGUG
rnacentral:rRNA from 1 species